rnacentral:snRNA from 1 species
GUUCUUAUUUCUGCAGCACAUACACUAAAACUGGAACAAUAUGAGAUGGCACUUGCACAAGGAUAACAUGCAAUUUGUGAAGCAUUCCAUUUUUUA